GGUGGGAUGUCCGAGUGGUUUAAGGAGCACGCUUGGAAAGCGUGUAUGGUUGUAAGAUCAUCCCGGGUUCGAAUCCCGGUCCCACCG
rnacentral:tRNA from 12 species